ACAUGCAAGUCGAACGAAGUAGCAAUACUUAGUGGCAGACGGGUGAGUAACAUGUGGGUAUCUUCCCUUUGGUGAGGAAUAACACGAGGAAACUUGUGCUAAUACCUCAUAAGUCUUUACGGAGAAAGCUUUAUGCGCCAUUGGAUGAGCCCGCACUUGAUUAGUUUGUUGGUGGGGUAAUGGCCUACCAAGACAAAGAUCAAUAGCUGAUUUGAGAGGAUGAUCAGCCACAUUGGGACUGAGACACGGCCCAAACCCCUACGGGAGGCAGCAGUAAGGAAUCUUGCACAAUGGAGGAAACUCUGAUGCAGCGAUGCCGCGUGAGUGAAGAAGGCCUUUGGGUUGUAAAGCUCUUUCGUCGGGGAAGAAAAUGACUGUACCCGAAUAAGAAGGUCCGGCUAACUUCGUGCCAGCAGCCGCGGUAAUACGAAGGGACCUAGCGUAGUUCGGAAUUACUGGGCUUAAAGAGUUCGUAGGUGGUUAAAAUAGUUGGUGGUGAAAUCCCAGAGCUUAACUCUGGAACUGCCAUCAAAACUUUUUAGCUAGAGUAUGAUAGAGGAAAGCAGAAUUUCUAGUGUAGAGGUGAAAAUUCGUAGAUAUUAGAAAGAAUACCAAUUGCGAAGGCAGCUUUCUGGAUCAUUACUGACACUGAGGAACGAAAGCAUGGGUAGCGAAGAGGAUUAGAUACCCUCGUAGUCCAUGCCGUAAACGAUGUGUGUUAGACGUUGGAAAUUUAUUUUCAGUGUCGCAGCGAAAGCGAUAAACACACCGCCUGGGGAGUCCGACCGCAAGGUUAAAACUCAAAUGAAUUGACGGGGACCCGCACAAGUAGUGGAGCAUGUGGUUUAAUUCGAAGAUACGCGCAGAACCUUACCAACACUUGACAUGUUCGUCGCGACUUUAAGAGAUUAAAGUUUUCGGUUCGGCCGGACGAAACACAGGUGCUGCAUGGCUGUUGUCAGCUCGUGUCGUGAGAUGUUGGGUUAAGUCCCGCAACGAGCGCAACCCUCACUUUUAGUUGCCAUCAUUUAGUUGGGCACUCUGAAAGAACUGCCAGUGAUAAGCUGGAGGAAGGUGGGGAUGACGUCAAGUCCUCAUGGCCCUUACGUGUUGGGCUACACACGUGCUACAAUGGCAUCUACAAUAGGAAGCAAGGUGGCGACAUCAAGCAAAUCCUAAAAAGAUGCCUCAGUUCGGAUUGCACUCUGCAACUCGAGUGCAUGAAGCUGGAAUUACUAGUAAUCGCGGAUCAGCGCGCCGCGGUGAAUACGUUCCCGGGUCUUGUACACACCGCCCGUCACACCAUGGGAG
rnacentral:rRNA from 1 species